AAAGAGGAAGAGUGGUUGGAAGGAGAUUUGCCAGCUGCAGUGUAAUUAAACCAAAUAUUAAAUGGCAAGAGAGUGACAGGAUCCCCAGGUUAGCUCCAUAUUUGCUACAAUCCCUCUCUAAUCAGCCACAACAAAGAGAAAGCAGAGGCUUUAUUUCUCUUGCUGAAAGAUGCUGUCUUAUAAGUCAAGUUGCAGAGAUAUCUGUAGAUCCCAUGGUUGUGGAGGAGCAUGUACAAACAUGUAUCAUCAAGUAGUCUCUCAGCUCUGGGAAUAAAGGCCUGAGGUGACAGUUCAAGCUUUUGCCUUCCUAAUUUUUCUUUUUUUGUACAGCUUUGUGGUUGGUUGUUGGGUUUUAAACUGACAUUUUUAGUUCAAUGAGAUUUCUGGUUUGUUUGUUUGUUGUUGUUUUUUAAUGUGGGGGCAGGGCUAAGGUUUUAUCUGUAAAGUAAAUGUUAAUUACUGGCAUAGAACAGCUAUAUAGUUUUCAUUUUGUGGUAUUAUGUUACCUGGAUAUAUUGUUCAGCUCAUAGAAAGAUGAGGACAGGCACUGGUUUAUUCUAUUACUGCUUUACAGCUGUGCAGUAUGGUUUAGACUGUACUUUUACAGCAAUUAUACAACCUUUUGACAAACAGUGUAGAAAUCUUUAGAAAUUGUUUAAAAAACUCUGGGGAAAAAUGUGCAUGUGUGUGAUUACACAGAUGGAGCAGAAGCUCUUUCUGUGCUUGAAUGGGAAGGUGCAAGGAAGCAAGACCUAUUUCUUCACUCCUGCUUUAACUCAGCUGCCAAAGAGAAGAGUUAUCUUGCCUGUUGGCUGGAACUAUCUUCACCUUUAACAUUUAUAGUGUUAAAAUAUUAUUCAUGAAAUGAUCAGUUAAGUGUUAAUAUGUUCAGCCUCAAAGAACCCCAAAGAAUGACUUUUUUUUUGGUAUGGAAAUGCAUACUUUGAGCUACCUCAUGCAAAAUGCACCAUGUUUAUGUGGUAAGUGUCUCUCUGACCCACAGAUGUCAUGUCUGUGGCAACAAUGACCGAGCAUGUGCAAGAACUGAGUUGCAGUGCUCCUCAUUAAGAUAGAAAAUCCUCAUUAAAACCAAAUUAAACUCAUGCAUCAGCACUUUCUAAGUUGUCCUGCGAGCAUCUAUGAACUUUUGACAUUACUGUCCAGGAAAAACUGUUCAUUUCUUAUGCACUAAAUAUUUAGCAAUGCCUCUUCUAGUUCCUCCUUGCUAGUAAUUUGUCACUUGGUGUCAUAUUUAGGCCAAAAAAAACCCACACUGCAGAGAUGGUAUUUCCCAGUCUGAACUCAAGUGGAAUCAGCAGAGACAUCCUCUCUUCUGACAAAGAUCAGUAUUCUUAGAAGUGUAGUUAGAUGUCUUUGGAAUGCAGGCUUCCUGAAAGCUGUGUUCAGAAUGUCCAAACUCAGGUGCCAGGUGGCAAGUAACUGCAGUUAUGUUUGGGGCUACUUAGUUUCGCGGGCCUUGCUUAGGUCAGAAUUAGUCUGGUGGCACCACAAAAUAUUCAGUGAGGCCCAAAAUACAGCCUGGGAAGCUGAAGGGAAGGCCCACUGCCCUGAAUGUGCUGUGGGGAAGCUAUUCGCAGCGGGCCGUGUGAGAGAGGGUGUUUGUCCCAUGAAGAUGAUGUCUGUGCUGAAUAGGUUAGCAGCGACUUGGGUUCCCUUCUUGGAGAGAUUAAUAGGAACGGGCAGUGUGGAAUGCCCUGGUGGGGUGGGGAGGUCAGUGAGCAAUGCAUGGAAAAAGGGUGUGCAAAGUCCCCCUGCACACGGAGGGUUUGAACUAAUUGCACAGUGGAAGGAAAGGACUGAGGCAUCGCCAGUGGCAUCUGCCCUUGGUAUUAAAAAGCGGAAAGGAGGUCCUAAGAGAAGGAGGCUGCCCAGAUAACAAGUUGAAUAAUAGGAAAAUCAUCUUUAUACUUUUAUAUAAACAGAGGUUAAGAAAUAAAUUAUAGACUCGGUCACAAAUGUUAUCUCUGGCUUCCUUGGGUAUGUGAAUGAGCAAAGUCUCAGCCUGCGUUUUUCCACAUGGGACUCUCCCUCAUUCAAAGACUAGAUGUAAAUAGCACUCCUACUUUUGUUUGUUCAAGAUGUGGUUUUCAGAGAUUUCCACUGCUCCAAAUGCUUCUAAAGCCCAUGCCUUCCGGUCACCUGUUCCUCCUCUCCUUCCACCUCCUCCUUCCUCCACUGCCUGUCAAGGACAAACAUCAUUUCCUGUCAAGGACAAACGCAGGCUGGUGUUUGUUGUACUGUGAAGGGCCUGAGGAAAUGAGUAACAUGCAAUCAGAUUGAGAGGGCUUCCUACCUUUGUCAUCUCUUUCUUAAUGGAGCAUGGGCGGUCAUGGAGCAAGUCGGAGAUUUUAUUAUGAUGCAGAAAUAGUAUUUCUUGCUCACCAAACACAGCCCAGUGUGCCCUAGCCUUUCCCUCAAGUUCUCGUUUGUUCCCUAACCAAGGCGACCACUCCUAAAAUAACAUUCUUUUGAAAGAAGAAUUUUUCUUCUUUCAGCUUUCUAGGAGAACUUUUAAGGCGCGUUCUAUGGAAAAAAAGUCAAUGUAUCACUUAUGGUAGUGAUAGGACAAGGAGGGUAGUGAUAGGACAAAGGGAAAUGGUUUUAAACGGAGACAGGGGAGGUUUAGGUUAGAUAUUAGGAGGAAGUUUUUCACACACUGGAACAGGUUGUCCAAGGAGGUUGUGGAUGCCUCAUCCCUGGAGGCAUUCAAGGCCAGGCUGGAUGUAGCUCUGGGCAGCCUGGUCUGCUGGUUGGUGACACUGCACAUAGCAGGGGGGUUGAAACUACAUGAUUAUUGUGGUCCUUUUCAACCCAGGCCAUUCUGUGAUGAUUGCAUUAAAUGUUGUAGGUAGAUGCCACUGACCUAAGCAUCCCUUCUCCUCUGGACUACUUCAGCGCAUGAAACUUUCAAGACAGGGCUGCAGAUGCCUUUUGUGUUUCUUUGGACAAAAAUGCUAUUUUCAUGCUGCUGAAGAUUUUUUAAACUCCCCCACAGUGAGAGACUGAGCCGAGUUUAGCAGGCCGAUAUCAGACUGAGGUGCGUCAUUCAAUCUCAGGCCUCAGGUAUAUGGUUGAGGCGUGCUUUCCUGUGCCCCAACAGUCUCAUGCAUGUGACAGUGCCAGCUGUCUGUUAGCAUCUUCAUUCUCUGCCUGUGCCUGUUGGCAGGGCCCAAGCCUGUGGUUUCAAAGAAGUUAAGCAAUUACUGUCAGGUGACACACUGUUCCUGAUGCUGUGAUGAUUACAGGGCAUUGCUUUGUGUGCAUCACAUCCUGAAUGUGGCCCUCUCAUCUGCCACACAUGCACCUCUCUUGUUGGAAAUAAAUAUAAAUUUACAACAAAUUCAGGGGAAAAAGUAGAUGAAAUGGUAGAAGAAAAAUGUUUGGUUUUUUUUUCUUUGAAGCUAUAAAUGUUAAAAUCUCUAUUUGGCGCCUCAAAAGCUAUGUUGUUCUUGCUUGCUAUCCCGAAGACCUUUGCAAGUUCUGGACAGUCUCAGAAGACACUAAUGAUGUUUAUUUUUCCUUAUCCUAAUUCUUCCUCUCUGGGAAAGUUCAUCUGGUAGUAACUACUCCAAGGAGAAUUUGUUUGUCUCUGAAGUCCGGACGUAGGGCCCAGUGAUCCCAUGACCCCGUUCCCUGCUCUGAUAUCCUUCCUACUGUACUCUAACAGCUCUGGUUGUUGCUGUAGGUUUCAUAACCCUCUAGUAAACCUGAAGGAAGUUCAGAGUUGUACCAGAGGUGUGUGCUGGGUUAGGUAAUCCAAUGAGAGCUCUUGAGUCUUUCAGUGAGCUCUGCCUGCCAUUAUCCACAGAGGUGCUGCUGGAGGUGGCCAUGUCAUACUUGGCUGCCUUGGCUUUCUGGUGGGCAGCAGGCCUCAGCCAGCAGAGUCCCAUCUUGCAUGGGGUCAUGACAGCUUCUCUGCAUGUGCAAUUUGCUCUAAGGUAUCAAAUGGCUCCUGUAAUGAAAGAUUUGCUGCAGUAAUGGUAGUCAAGCAACAGUGGGGUAACCAGUAGGAAAUCAAGUCCUAAUUAAAAAACAGGAGCUUUGUCAAAACGCUGUGAUAAUACACAAUUUUCCAACCAAGUUUUUCUGCAUUUAAGUUAGAGACUAACCCAUUAGAGAGCAUGUCUAUGAUUUUGGAGUGACAAAAUAGUGAAAGAAAGAGCCAAAAUUUAAAGAUGCUCUAAUCUCACGCAGCUGUUAAUCAACAGCACAUAAACUAGUAAUGCUGCCCUCGUUCUGGAGGAAUAACAGCUAGCAAGAUGUCUAUUUAUGGGAAAAAAAAAUGAGAAUGUUAGGAAGAUUGAUUUUAGACAUCUUGUUAAAACUUCCAGGCUUAAAUUUAUAAGCCUUCCUCAUUUGUAUUUGGGCGAAUUGCAGUCCUCUGAGGCCCUGUCAUAGAGCAUGUUUAUUUUUCUGUUCUUCAGAAGAAAAGCGUUAAGUAUAUUUUCUGCUCAUGGAAAGUUGUACUUCAUGCGUUUUGCAGUGGCAGUCCUCUGGGUAAGGCAUUUUAUGAGAAUCAGAGUAGUAACUGCAGGGUGGGAUCUUUCAUGUUGCAGUCCUUCUCAGCUCUCCUGCUGAUCUGAAACGCCCACUACAAACCAAAGGCUUGGCCCCCCUUUCCUGUGCUUGCACUGAUCUGCCUGGUGUACCUGGAGUAAAUAUUCUUCUCUUCAUCUCCUUUCUUCCUUGUUUUUCACCUUUUUCACCGUUAUUUCUGUAAUUUGUAAAAAAAGGGCUUGCAUUAAGUCAUCUUUUGACUUUGUGGAUGUUGCUCUGAUGGCUAUGGCAGUAGUUCUGUCUACGCCUAAGGAAGGCGAGAAGUCAUAGCUCAAGCUUUGGUAUGGUUUUCCUUUGCUCUCCAUGCUGAUACUUGUGUGUUUCUCAUGGUUCUCUUUCAGUGCCUUUAAAAGAGCUGCUCUAACAGUAAAUCAGGCCUGGGAAUGUAGCUUCCCUGCCCACACAUAUUAUAAAGGAAUUAUCCUUUUUCAUGAUGGAGAGGGGUUAAUAGGAGUUGCAAUGGCCUCUGCUCCACUUGCUUCCGCUACCCGGGAGUGUUCUUUGCUUAGACAGACACAAUGCCAUAAAAAUACUCUUUUAUCAUUAAUUUUCUUCCUUUUGGUUUGUCCACCAGGAGUUCUUCUCAGGAAGAGUGUAUCCUGAGGUACGCUGGGGACAAACUGUAACUGAAAUGUUUUUCUGUGUGACAAAAGAGAAAGCUGGGAUCCAGGCUCUCACCACCACUAACCUCUGUACUCACUUUUAUCUGCUAUGAAAACUGUUAUGUCAGACACAUCCUCCUUUUCCCUGUUUGUCUGAAAGUCUGUGGUCGUGGUGCAGAUGCUACAGGGAUCAGAGGAACGGGAGCCUGAGUAGACUGAAGCUUUGUAGUCUUACAGAUCUUUGGUUUCCCUUUACUUCUACCUUCAAGCUCAGCAGGAGGAAGGUGACUCUGCUUUACAUCACAGAGGAGAUUCCUCCACUUUUCACACUGGCUCCUUCCUCUCAUCCACUGUACUCACUGCUGCCUCUGAACACCUGGGGACCACACUGCAGCACAGUUUUACUCCCUUAUGUCUGAGAGGCUGAAACAGAUACUUCGUGCAGUGGCUUAUGGUAACUGUACUCUCAAUUUUUAUUCACUGUUGUAGAAGGAUGUCUACAAAUUAAUGUGAACUGAGGAUCUUUGGUCCUGGAUCUAGGCUCAAUGGAUCAAACAUGGUCUUUCACUAAACUUUCACUAAAACUGGAGUAAUUAAAGAGCAUAGGCUUCGAGAAAAGAUUUGAAACUCAAUCCAUACUGUAAAAUGGAUUGGUCUCCACUGUCUGUUUGGUGUUCUACUGUGUCAAAAAUUCCAAUUUAAAUGAUACUCUAACGUAUAGUACUAAAAACUGAUCUGAGUAAACUUGUCUAGCCCAGAAACUUUAACAGUUUUCUGGGCUUUUCUCUUUGGACAUACAGCCCUGAAGGAGAAGGCGGCACAAAAGAAUGAGCAACUGAGGAUAUAAUUUAAGGAACAUGGCUUCUGUUUUGUUCUUAAUCAAUGAAAACCACUUUUGGUGGUGGCACGUCAUCCUGUCUUCCAAAGAACUGCAGAAAAGCACCCACUCUUCCCCAAAAGAUCAGGCUCUGUCCAUGCAUGGCUGCCGUGCCACACUUCAGUGCCACCUCAAAAUGAGUGUCAUGACUUUUUUUGAGCAGUAUGAGAACACAAAGCCAGACUAAAGAAAUACCCCAAAUAUCUUCCCCACACACCGCCACAAAAAAAAAAGAGAGAGAGAGAAAGAGGAAAAUAAUGUUGAGGGUUGCUGAGUGUAGUGGGGGUUGCUCCUGAGCUUGGAUAGGAGUUGCACCCAUUGAAUUUAUGAAGACAGAUGGGGACCGCUUGGCGAUCACAAAGCUGGGAGAGAUGGGGAUCCAGCCAGCUGGUGCCCACUCCCUGCCGCUUCCUGCCACCUAGUGGUCAGUGUUCUGCCAGUCUUCUGCUCAGCAGUUUGUGGCAUUAGGAAAGAUGGUCAGAAGAGAGGCAGGAUGCUGUGUGCUCUGGGGGAAAAAUGGGCGAAGCACUACAAGCACUCUGCCCUCUCCUAGCCAAGCGACCCCAGCGGUCCUGCCCUUUUGAGUGAGACUUUACCCUCACCUAACUAUGUGGUGAUAACUAUUAGUCUAAGAUGGUGAAUUUGGAUGCUGUUGCAUAUUAUAUGAGGAAAUCUGACUCACAAAUGCAGGUAAGUGGGUUGGCCUAACACUUCGGUCUCCUAUUUACCCAUUCACUGGAGCUGAAUAAGUUGUUCUUUGUCUACACUUGUGGUACGCUGAAUGGGUUUCAAGUGUAUUAUUUUUUGUUUUCCUGGGAGGGCUUUGAUCUGCAUUCAGCCGUUGACACUCAGUGCUGCCUAUUCACUGUAUACAGAAAGCAAUCCAGCCCAGUUUCAGUCUCCAGGGUGUUGUUUUUGCAAGCCAUUUCAGAUUAUCAGGGUUUUUAAUGCUGUAAGAAGGGCUCCCAGAAGAAAUAAAGUGCUUAGACACACUAAUCCAAAAGUUCCACCCAUGCAGAAAAUGAAAGACAAUUGUGUUCUUUACGAGCCAGGUACUUUCCACCUUACCCUUCAUAGUAAUGAGAUAAAGCAAAAACAGGAGAUGGAUGUGUCUUGUUAAUUUGUAUUGUCUUCUGCUCCUCCAGCUCUCCACUCCCAGCAAAAUCAGCACAUCUAGCAGCAGAGGCAUGGAAAGGCAGGUGGUUUCCCCUGCUCACUUCAAGGUGGCAUCUGGCACCUCCCUGGGGAUGGGACAUCUGCCUGUGAAGAGUCAGCAUGCAGGUGUUCAAGGCACAGGUGUUUACUGCACCUGCCAGGAGGUGGAGAGGUCAUGGACUGUUGUGGCCAGAACAAGGACCUCUUGCCCAUAGCAGCUCAGGAUUGUCACAACUCCUGCCAAAAUAAACACAUAGUCAUUGCAAAUUGGCUUUUCUCUGUGUAAAGGAUUUUCUCAGCCCAUACCUCCACUGAGGUUAUGGCUUUAAAAUUGAUUUUAUAAACUAUAGUCAAAGCUCGCUAACGUAAUACCUGUUUUCUGGAGCAAGAAUGCUGUUUGUAAAUCUAUGAAUUCACAGUCUUUUAUCUAGCAUGGAUGAAAUAAAUAAGGAAUUAUUUGAGAGAUGUUCGCAGACCCAGAGAAAUAGGUUCUUACAAGGUAGCAACUUUGGGUUUUCAGGCAUUGUGCCUGAAGAACAUCAUCAAACAAUCUGAGAGCUCAGAGAACAGAAGCAGGCUUGUUGGUGGGUCUGAGAGUGGGCUGAAAGAUCUGGAGUCACUUAGUCUAGAGUGAGAUGUAAUGUCUUCAAAUGCAUACCUGUAGAGAGGAUAGCAGUAAAUGUCCUCUGCGUCAGCUUGAAAUACAGUAAGAGGCUUUAAGUUCUUGGCUAAAUGAUUGGAAAAGUCUCUAUUUGUUGUCAUGAUAAGAUGCUGAAUAGAUGAACUUGAGUGACAAAGGAAUGUCCAUCACCGAAAGUCUUGAAAAACAAGUUAGAGAAAGCAUUGCUUGCAGUGUCCUCAGUAUUGGGUCACGUGUUCUUUCCUAUGCUUUUUUUCUCUUUUCUUUUACUCUAUAAAAUAAGUGAUUUCCUUAAUUUUACAGAUGGAGAUUUAAAGAUGUAGUGUUAAAAAGCACCCAGCCCUGAGCAUCCUCAUGUGCUUCUAAAGCUGACUCCAGCUGGAGUGCUGGCCAGAGGGCCCCUUGCCACUGAGAUAUGAGAUCCUAAGCAUAGGCCUCAGUGACUUUCUCAGGAAUAGAUGUAUCAUACUUAGUGUAAGAGCCAGGAAUGUGUGUGUAUGGCUUUCAGGAAGGCAGUUUUGUUUCAUUAUUGGAACUGAUAGCCAGAAAUAGUCUAAUUUCCAAGCAAUUAAUGCCCACAUUUCCUAGAUAUGAAAUGAGUUCAUUUUUGUGCACGUUGGGCUAUGUGUUACGACAGUUACUUCAAGAAUGAGCUAUGUUUCUUCUCUUUUUUACUAGGGAAGAAGUUCCCGGAGCUUUCUGUGCUGGUGAAAGAGGCAGCUGUGCUAAUUCUGAUACCGAGUAUUCUCUUACAAACUGAGAUGCUGCAAAACUCCUCAGAAGAGCAGAAAAGGAAGACUUACACCUCUGUCUGACACAGUUAAAAUCUCUCCCUGUGCACUUAUCAGCUUGCAUAUCUCUGUGAAACUCUGUGCUUCAGCGAGGGCUACAUCACUAGGCAACUACUGCAAAGAAACAUGAGUUCUACAGGAUUUCAGGGAAGAAUUCUUCCUCUACUUUUGUUCACUUCUGAGUUUGCUUCUUGGCACCCUCUUCCUUAAUGUGAGGUCAGCCAGAGUACUUUCACAGUUUUUCCUGUCUGUUUUGUCAUUUGUUUCUGUUUCGCAGGCUUACAGCUCCGAAGUUUUUCCAAGAGAGAAGAGAAACCAAACUGGAAGAUGAGAGCAUUGCACAGGCACCAAAUGCUGUUUCUGUUCAACCUUUGUUUCAUCGAGAAAAGUGGGUGUCUAAAAUCAAAGCACGCAUUACUUCCCAUCACUUGUAAUCUGAGACUAGUGUUUUAGUGGAGUCUGCUGCCAGACUACAGAGAAAAGGAAACUUAGUGGAUCACCAGGUUUUUCAGCCUCUGAGAAAGAUAACCAACCAAGCACCAAGAGACAGGAUAGAAGCAUGAAGGUGGUAAUUAACCACAUAGCUGAUUUUGGACUGUUACUAUGCUACCAGAAAAACAUGCUGGGAGAAGCCAUCAUCCACCGUGAAUGAGUUUUCUUGUAUAAGGAAUCCACUUGUUUAUGAGACUCACUUUAAACAAUAACAGAAUCACAAAAUCACAGAGUUGUAGGAGUUGGAAAGGACCUCUAGAAAUCAUCGAGUCCAACCUCUUCUGCUAAAGGAGUUCCCUGCAGCAGGUCACACAGGAAAGUGUCCAGGUUGGUUUUGAAUAUCUCCAGAGGAGACUCCACAACAUCUCUGGGCAGCCUGCUCCAAUGCUCUGCCACCCUCACAAUAAAGAAGUUCUUCCUCAUGUACGUAUGGAACUUCCUGUGUUCCAGUUUGUGCCUAUUUCUGUUGUCCUGUCACUGGGCUCUGCUGAAAGAGUCUGGCCACAUCCACUUGACUCCUGCCCUUUAGAUAUUUAUCAACAAUGAUGAGAUCCCUCUCAGUCUUCUCCAGAGGGAAUAGUCUCUCAGCCUUUCUUCAUAAGGGAGAUGCUCCAGGCCCCUAAUACUCUUUCUGGCCUUUCACUGGACUCUCUCAAGAAGAUCCUGUCUUUCUUGAGUGAGGAGCCCAGAACUGGAUGCAUACAGAGUGGCCUCACUGGGGCAAAGUAGCUGGGGAGGACCUCUUCCCUCAACCUGUUGUCCACACUUUUCAAUGAAACCCAACUUUUAGAGUCCAACUGGUCCCAGUAUUGUUCUGGUAAUGAGGAAGAGCUCCAGAGUGAAAAUGUUGGACUCUGAUUAUGCUUUGCUGUCAUUCAGCAGCACUCAUCCUUCCACCUCUGUCUUGAACAACUGUGUGACUGGUCUUUCCUUGCAGUAAUGAACUAGACAGUGUAUAACCAAGUAGUUAGCAAUACAGAUUUUGUUCUCAGAGUUUCUUUGAACUUUAGUUUCAACUAGACAAUCCCUGGCACCAAAUCCAAGAAAAGAAAAACAUGAGAAAAAUCGUGAUGUGUGGGGAUUGGUUAUAUAUUCAUAAAGCCACUAAUCAGUUUCUUUUCUCUCUCAUUUUUGUUAGGCUUUCUUUGUCUACUUUCAGGUCUUAUCUCCAUAUGAACACUGAUAGCAGAUAAAUCAAGACAACAGCUUCCUUCAUUUUUAGGAGUUUUGUUAAAAUUGACUUUCUCCCUCUGACAUGAAUAUCAGUUUAUAUCUCAAUCAAAUCUGGAAUUGUAGUUUAGAGAGAAAAUACAUAAAAUAUGUGUAGAAGAUUUUCCUAUGUCAUCCUUCUCACAGACACUUUCUGUUACUUUUAGAUUUAUUUCAGAUUAUUGUUUACUACGCAAUCAUUAAUAAUUUACAGAAGUAAAGGCUUUUGUUUGGUAGUGAUUUGUUAUAACUGGAAUAAUGAAAAUAAUUAUAUGUAUCUUAUCUCCAGUUCUUCAGUUUUGUAAAGUUCUGCUAAACUCAAGUGUUCAAGCUGUAAUAUAUCUCUUUUACUUUGGGUCUUACCAUUGAAUGACCUGACCUUUUAAUAAAGAUUUUUGUUUCCUAUGGUGCUUGAUUUCUUUGGCUAAGUAAUAAAAAGUGUGUGACACUUAAGAGCUUCCUACUUCCCUACUCUCUCUUAUAGUAGAGUGCUUAUGUAAUGAAGAGUGAUUGCUUGCAAGUCCAGAGAAAGAAAUCCUAAGCAUAUCUGUAUCUUCCAGUUGAUGGGUAUUAAAAAAAAAAAAAAAUACCCAAACUGCCUGUCAGCCUUGGGAAGAUAAAGAGGACAGAGCAGUGUGAAUGAAUUCAUCAGCAACAAAUGACAGCAAACUUGUCUGAUUUCCCUCUGUGACCAAGUAACAGACAUUAUGAAGAGUCAAGCAGCCGUAUCUAUCUGUCUGUCUGUGGUAUAUCUUGACUUCUGUGGUAUUUUUGAGGCUGCCUUUGACAAUUGUUACCUAGAUGUAUUUUGAUAACAUGCUAUAGUUGAAUGCACAGUAGUUGCAAAAUUCUAAAUAAUUAGACCAGAACAAAGUAAAAAUGAAAGGCUGUGCUAUUGGAGGUUAUAUAUUGAAUUGUUCCAAGUCGGGUUUUGAAUUUUUUUUUUUGAACUAAUGACUCAGUUGAAGGAAAAGAAAAUAUCUAUUAAAUUUACAGACAUUAGAAAGCUGGCAGAAGUUAUAUAGGCACUAAAGGACAGGUUUUGACUUCUGUAUGAUCUUGAUAAAUUAGGUGUUUUAUAGAAAGACAGGUGAUAGUUCAAGAAGACAAGUGCUAAAUACUAAACUUUUAUAGCAAAGUGAUUGGUAAUGCAAAGACUGAAUAAGAACAACAGCAGUAUAAUUAAUCCCCUUGACAUCAGAUGAAGAUUAGUUGUAUAGGUUGUUGGAAGGGAAAAUGUCUUAUCACUGCUUGUUCUAAAAAAAUGAUUGUUUUGCACUGGUCAUUGUAACAUAGAGUAACACUCAGCAGCAGACCCUCUCAGAGAGAACUGGGUUCUACUGUCUGCGCAGAAAGGCUGAGGUUACCUUAACUGGAGACUGGAAUCACUUAUGCAUGUUCUUGCGUUGAUACCACAAGAAAUUUCCCUCCUUAUGAUUUCUUGCACUGCCACCAGUUAAGUUGUAAGGAGCUAAUUCUACUGCUGUCAAAGGAUUUCCUUGAUGACAAUUUGACUUUAAAAAAAUCUUCUGCUGCAAUUGAACUUACUUCAUAUUACUUUUGCUGAUAAUAGUAUGUUUUCAAUAGAGUUCAAAUGACAUUUGCUAGUCAGUUUUUCAGCUAGGUUAGCUUGAUUAACAUUUCCUCUUUUUUUCCCCCAAUACCUAUACCAACAUGUGCCAAAAUUGUGUUCCUUCAUCAUCUGAUGGUGGGCAUUCAUCAUACUACUAUAAUUACAACAUAAUCAGGUUUGCUAAAAUUAGAUUUCCAGAGGAAAAUUCCCAGCCACUACUGGGCCUGAAUUCAAUUUUCUGUCUUUUUUCACAAAGUCACCUGUGUAAAACAUUUUAAUCUUCAUUUCCACCUGCUGCUGCAGGUGAAAGUGUUUGGUGACCUGCUGCCUAUUAACGCUAGCAAAUAAAGCCUCAUCCCCUCUCCCUCUCCUUUCAGGGACAAAAACUGAAGUGGAUGGAGGGGGUAGAAAGAGAGUGGUCUGAGAAUAGUGUAGUUGUAUUCUUAGGAGAAGUGGCUUAGUUGAUUGUAAAUUGAUA
ensembl:lncRNA